rnacentral:rRNA from 1 species
UGCAAGUCGAACGAGGGUCCAACCGGUAGCAAUACUGGGGAAGACCUAGUGGCGAACGGGUGAGUAUCACGUGAGGAACCUGCCCCGAAGACCGGGAUAACCCUCCGAAAGGAGAGCUAAUACCGGAUACCUUCACCGGACCGCAUGAUCUGGUGAAGAAAUGGAUUCCGCUUCGGGAGGGCCUCGCGGCCUAUCAGCUUGUUGGUGGGGUAAUGGCCCACCAAGGCUUCGACGGGUAGCUGGUCUGAGAGGACGAUCAGCCACACUGGGACUGAGACACGGCCCAGACUCCUACGGGAGGCAGCAGUGGGGAAUCUUGCGCAAUGGGCGAAAGCCUGACGCAGCAACGCCGCGUGGGGGAUGAAGGCUCUCGGGUUGUAAACCCCUUUCAGCAGGGACGAUAGUGACGGUACCUGCAGAAGAAGGCCCGGCCAACUACGUGCCAGCAGCCGCGGUAACACGUAGGGGCCAAGCGUUGUCCGGAUUUAUUGGGCGUAAAGAGCUCGUAGGCGGCUCGGUAAGUCGGGUGUGAAACCUCCAGGCUCAACCUGGAGACGCCACCUGAUACUGCUGUGGCUAGAGUCCGGUAGGGGAGCGUGGAAUUCCUGGUGUAGCGGUGAAAUGCGCAGAUAUCAGGAGGAACACCAGCGGCGAAGGCGGCGCUCUGGGCCGGAACUGACGCUGAGGAGCGA